rnacentral:rRNA from 1 species
GACGAACGCUGGCGGCGUGCCUAAUACAUGCAAGUCGAGCGAAUCUUUAAAAGCUUGCUUUUGAAGAUUAGCGGCGGACGGGUGAGUAACACGUGGGCAACCUACCUGUAAGACUGGGAUAACUUCGGGAAACCGGAGCUAAUACCGGAUAAUCUGUUCCCUCGCAUGAGGGAAUGCUGAAAGACGGCGCAAGCUGUCACUUACAGAUGGGCCCGCGGCGCAUUAGCUAGUUGGUGAGGUAACGGCUCACCAAGGCGACGAUGCGUAGCCGACCUGAGAGGGUGAUCGGCCCAACUGGGACUGAGACACGGCCCAGACUCCUACGGGAGGCAGCAGUAGGGAAUCUUCCGCAAUGGACGAAAGUCUGACGGAGCAACGCCGCGUGAGCGAAGAAGGCCUUCGGGUCGUAAAGCUCUGUUGUUAGGGAAGAACAAGUAUCGGAGUAACUGCCGGUACCUUGACGGUACCUAACCAGAAAGCCACGGCUAACUACGUGCCAGCAGCCGCGGUAAUAC